rnacentral:rRNA from 1 species
UGGUGGAGUGAUUUGUCUGGUUAAUUCCGAUAACGAACGAGACCUUAACCUGCUAACUAGAGCACAUUACGUGAGUAGUGUGUUACUUCUUAGAGGGACUGACUAUGUUUAAUAGUCGGAAGUUUGAGGCAAUAACA